rnacentral:rRNA from 1 species
GACGAGGGGUCCUAGCGUUGUUCGGAAUCACUGGGCGUAAAGCGUAUGUAGGCGGUUUGUCGCGUCUGCCGUGAAAGUCCGGGGCUCAACUCCGGAUCUGCGGUGGGUACGGGCAGACUAGAGUGAUGUAGGGGAGACUGGAAUUCCUGGUGUAGCGGUGAAAUGCGCAGAUAUCAGGAGGAACACCAGUGGCGAAGGCGGCGACCUGGACAGAUAUUGACGCUGAGGUGCGAAAGCGUGGGGAGCAAACAGG